rnacentral:rRNA from 1 species
GAUAAACGCUGGCGGCGUGCCUAACACAUGCAAGUCGAACGCACUCUGGCAACAGAGUGAGUGGCGGACGGGUGAGUACCACGUGGGUACCUACUCUGAGGUGAGGAAUACCACCGAGAAAUCGGUGACAAGACCGCAUACGCUCUGCACAAGAGCAAAGUCGCUUUUCGGAGUGACGCCCCAGAAUGGGCCUGCGCCUGAUUAGCUGGUUGGUGGGGUAAGAGCCUACCAAGGCGACGAUCAGUAGCUGGUCUGAGAGGAUGAUCAGCCACACUGG